UAUAUCUAUAUAUAGUAUAAAGCUAGGCAUAGACAAUCCUAUGUGGCACCUCUCUAUGGCCUCCAUUGGCAUUUAUCUUUUUUCUCAAUUUUUUGACAUUUUCCUCUUCAUUUCUCUAUUUAAUUAAAUAAAAUUAAAGGUUUCAUCUCUCCACCCAUAAGAAAGAUUCACUCACUAUUUAAUAGCUUUAUAUUUGCCAUCACUUGCCACCAAUAAUUACACCUAUUCAAAAUAUUAAAAUCAUAUAAAACAGUCAAUUAAAUAAAAAAUCGUUAUAGAAACCCAAAAGUCACACCACUUCAAUAUAAUUUAAGGGUUGUCCGUGGAAAGCAUGCAGUUGCUCGUCUCCCAUUUCUAUUUUGGGGUCAGGCCAAUUCCUAAUGAUGAAUGAUCUGUAAAGAUAGAGUUUAGUCUUAAAAUCUUGACCAAAUCAAGUGAAUUGAGCACUUCCAACUACUCCACACUCACGGUGAGAAGAUUUUGCUUUCUUUUCGUAUUGAAUUAUUAACAAAAUAUUAACCUCUCAUCAAUCUGGUAGGUUAAGUUACUUUUGCUUUUAAUUUGAUUUUCUGUUUUGGAUAACUUCUGUUUGUUUUUAUUUUGUCAGUAGAUCAGACAUAGAACAAGUAUUUAAAGGUAAUGUUCUUUGUUGCUAUUUAAAAAAAAAAAAAAAAAAAACUCAGUACUGAAUACAGACAACAGUAGGUAACAUGCUAAAAGAGUUACUAUAUGAUGUUAAUUUAUAACUUUGAAUUGUAUGAUUUGGACAACGACAAUUAUGGAUUAGCAAUAAUAUUUCUAACAUGAUUUUUCUUUUCCUUUUUUUUUUCACUUCUAGCAGACUUUUCCUUUCGCUCCUUGAUCUUUUGCUUUGCAUUUUAUUUUUGGAGCUGGCAGUUCCGUCUAACUGAUCUCUGUGGAUCUGAAAAUGUGCAAUAGAUUAUUUAUAACUCUAAGCUCUCCUUGAUAGUACUCCAUAUUCACACAGUUACAAUUCAAAAAAAAAAAAAUUAAUGAUGAUGUUUUAGAAAUGUAAUCUUGCGACUAAUCUCACUUCUUUUUUCCUACAAACUAAUUUAAAUAAUGCUGAAAGAUUAGUGGCCUGACUAACAGUCAAGGUUCUAUUUGUUACUGAUCUAUUCCAUUAAUAUGAAGUAUUUUUCUAUUCUCCUUGCGUGUGCAAAUUGUAAGAAAACUCAUGAAUUUUGAAGAAAAAAAUCACCUUACUACAGGCUGGGCUGUCAACAGGGUUGCCAACUCUGUACAACAUAUUUCUUCUUGGUUGAGAUGUGAUGGAUAUUAUUUUCUGUUCUCUUCUUUGAUUCAUUUUCAGGAGAGAUUUUGUAGUAAUAUUACAUUCCAAUUUCCCUGGCACAAUAAUAGAAGUACAUUACUCUGCUUUUCAUA